rnacentral:lncRNA from 1 species
UCGCCGCCCGACUAGCGCCUAACGUAGUUUCGAACAGUAAUACUAAUUUUCUUUUUUUUUUAGAAACUUUUACAGUUUCUAACCAAUGGAGUUGAGCAAUAUUCGCCUCAUAAAUCACUUAGGUUUUAGGUCGUCUUCUAGUUAAAACUUAAAACUUAAAAGGACUAGAAAUUUUGACUUGGGCUUUUAAAUAAUAUAAAGCAACUCCAUAUUUAUUUUUCGUCAUGGGACAUCUUCAGCCAUGUAUCCUCGCUUCUCGACUCAACCGCAUGGGCUUUUCAUUUUACAGUUAACCAUACAACACUAUGCGUUCGGCGUACCACCGUUUAGGUUUAGAUCAAGUUUUCAGAUUUUUGGGUACAAGCCAUUUGGAUCAGAAUAUCCUUUUCUCUUGAGAAAUAUUAUCACUUCAAAUUUGAACCUGCUGUCAUUAUUGCCAAAAAAGAACCUGUUGUCAUUAUUGCCAAAAGACAAAGCUAGUUUCUUGUUAGUUUUGUUCUUAGAUACCAAAUCAUGGUAAUAAUAAUAUCUGAAUCCCGUCAUCUGAUGUAGAUUCUAACAUCUCCUGAUUCGCCUUACGAAUUUGUUCCUGGCUCUUAUUCAGUUCUUUCUUCCAAGGAUACUUCUGAUCACCAUAGAGUCAAAGUC